GCUUAGGCUCCCAAAGGCAC
rnacentral:snRNA from 1 species